UUUUGACGACGAAGAGAGAGCCUUCAACAUCGUUACGACUCCAUAUGCUGAGAUCGAUGUUGAACUCGUAGAAGGUGACAUGAGCGGCCGUGAUGAGGAUCUCCUCAAUGAAUGGAUCGAUUCGCUGAAGAACUGUCAGGUUUAGGAGUUUUGUGCUCUGCUGGUCCAGAUUAGGCAUCAAUUUUCCGUUCUGCGACAUUUUUCAUAGUCCUUUUGGGCUUCUGCCCCGAUCACUAGCCCUCAGGUUUUUCUGUGAGCUCUCGCUCUUUUGUAAAUAAAGUGUUUGAUGAGAUAGCCGAAAGAGAGUGAAAGAGUUGAACAGCCAAACAAGGUGAGGUGAACAGUUUCGGACUGAGACUCGAGAUUGAUCUUUGCUUUAACGUCUUUCAAACAUUUGGGAAAUAGCAUUUAUUUCUUUCAAUUUCUCUACUUUUUUUUUCCUUUAUGUUAUUUAGACCCCAAAAUUAGAUUUAUUAUAAUCAUAUUUUACCCAUACACUAUUAAUCCCUUUUAUUUUUUAAAUUGUCAAUAUUAAUGUAUUAGAAUAAUGUUAGAAAUCCCAAUUAUUAUCGCAAUGUUUCAAUCAUAACUAAUGUGAUAACUCAUCGGUAACUACAACAUUAACUUAAUUAUUAAUGUUUAUCAUGAAAUGAUGAGAUUAUUAUUCAAGAAAAACUUAGUAAACAUCAAUGACUAAUAUAAUAUGACAAUUACAACUGAAUAUUAGUACAAUAAUUAGGAUCCCUAAAGUUAGUGAAUGUAUUAUAAUAUAUGUGUGUUACACCACUUUAUGUCUCUCAAAUUCAAUUAAGUAAUUUCAGAAACCUGAUCUUUUAUUACAUUAAUUAGGAAUGCAUACAUGAACGAAAGAUGUGCAAUUUUUGUUCUAUUUUUCACUAUUAUUUACCAUUCAUCUACUUACAUCACUUGAUUUUUUGUGAUUAAUAUGCUUAAAUGGAUCUCUUAGAUAUAAAUAAAAUAAACGAAAAGUCUAAGAGAAAAAAAAAUGAGGACCGAAAUUAUUACACCUACAACAAAUUUGCCCAGAGAGCAAUAAAUCAAACUUGCUUAGGAAGUACAAUGAUUAGUUAAUAACUAAAAGAGCCUUCACCUGACAUGUUAAAGCUUCUGUCAAGCAAAACACCCAUUGAAAGCUGUUUAGGUCCGUCUUAGAUCAUCGGAAAUUUGACAAAAUCAUAAAAACCCUCAUCUUAUGAUAAUCUUUUCCAGAUAGGUGACUUACUAGAUCUCCUGCCAAGAGAAUAUCUAUGGUUUUGAACCUCCAUUGAAAUUUCUUUUUCCCUUUUUCUUGUUUUGACUUGGAACAAUUUAUUUGAUCUUUUUUAAAGGUAAAAUAACAAUUUAUAGGUUGCCAACAUCGUAUUCUGCCAAAUCCCACCCCAAAACAAAAAAAAAAAAUCAAUGGGUUGACAACAAAUAGCGCCUACUCAACUUAUGUUCUCCAACGGACGACAAUAUGCAAAUCGACCUAGUAGCCACAUUUUUCCCCCUUUCAACCACCGUUAGGCACCUUUUCUAACCUUCCUUCAUUGCCCACACCUGCAGAACUAUAAUAAAAAGACUACAUUAUUAUUGAGGUAGAGAAAAUAUACAGACUGUAUUAUUAUUACAUCCCAUUUUACUAAUUAACUAGUGCAAGACUUCUUUAGUGUCAAAUCAAGAACUGAUUAGAAAAGACAACUCAUGAUAAUACAGACCUUAAUAAGCAAUAGCUAACAACAUCCCAUAUACUCCUAUUUUAGCCUUCACUAUCCUGGUAAAAACACAAUUAAGUCUUGCAAAAGAACAUUCAUAAGUAAAUUCAACAUUAAUUAAGAUUAGGUAUCUACUGCACCUAAUAGCAUGGUCAACCAUCUAGUUCCUGUAGCCUUCCAUGUACCUAUGUUAGUUACAUUUUACAUAUUAAGCCACGAAAACGAAGAAUCACAGCCUGGUAAAGAAAGCCAUUAAUUAAUAGUUUUUGUUUAAAAAGUUCUCCCUUAGAUCUUUCCUACUCAAUGAAUCAAUGUAAUCUAAAGAGAACUCUUCCAUUUCAAACAGUGUUAGAAGAUAUUUGCAAAGCCUAAAGAUAACAUACAAGGACCAAGAUAUACACGGAUGGUUUCUUUAUGAGACUAAAGAGCUUUUUUAGAUGUUAAAACUGUUUCAAACUGUUUUUCUGGUUUGGUUUAACUAAGGAAGAGCUUGUGGAAGAUUAAAAAUGAUGUUUCCUGUUCUCUGUAGGAAGCUUUUAGGAGAUUUUUUGGGCUUUUUUGAAAGGUUGAAUUGUCAAAAAUACCUUGAUGUUAUUGUUUGCUAAAAGAUGUUAUGGACAACUAAACAACCAACAACAUUUUGCACAAUUUUCAACUUUCAAGGAAGAUAGCUAUGAGGGGAAUCCUUUUCUUUGUGGAUGGCCACUGUCCAAAAGUUGCGAUGAUAAUGGAUUAACAACAGUGACAACAGAAGCUGACACUGAAAAUGAAGAAGUUGAUAGUUUAAUUGACAUGGACAGUUUCCUGAUCACUUUUACAGUAUCUUAUGGAAUUGUGAUAUUCGGAAUUAUUGGAGUUUUGUACGUAAACCCCUAUUGGCGGCGAAGUUGGUUUUACCUUGUUGAAGUAUGUAUGACCUCUUGCUACUAUUUUGCAGCAGACAAUCUUGUUCCUAGAAAAUUCUAUGGUGGAUGGAUGUAAUUUCAUUACAUUACAACUUAUAUGUAAUUUUCAAAGAAUUUUCUUUUGCAUGCAUGGAAUAGCAACUCAAUAAAAGUAUUUGAUGCAAAUUGUCCAAGAACAACUUAGUAAUUUCAUUGCUACUAUUCGGUUGUAUGUAUACAGUUAAUGAAAUUUUUAACCAUUCGCAGAAUACCCUUAGGAAUUUCUUUAGAUGGCGGCCAAAAACUAAGAGAUUCGGGGCUCUACACAGUCUGAAUGAAGAUUAACUUAAUGCCCUCAGGAUUAUGUGUAAGUUCUCUUUUAAAUUUAAGGGGUUGAGAUUUCAGGUCCGGAUGAAAGUUGAAUGCAGGUCACGAGACUUCACUGGGACAAACUUAAAAUAAAAAAUUAUAGUCCACAGUAAGAGCAAUGGGUAGCUUAACUUAUGGAAGAUAACUAGAACUUGGAAUAACUUAAAUUAGCUAUAAAAUUAAGACCAUUAUACAACUAAAAAGAAAGAAAAAUUGUUUGCUACUACAUAUCAAAACUGGUAAUAGCAAUGUAAGAUGGCAGACUUCUUACUUAAACAGAUGAGAGGCUACAAAUAAAAAAAUUGUGCAAAUAAAAGAUAUGAUAAAGAGCAUAAUACUUUCUUGGGGGCUAAAAAUAAUAUACAACUUGUGAAAUAUAAAUUGAGCUACCAUUACCUUUUAGAUGUGGCAACUUUCGACUUUUGAGGCACUUUGGAAUAUGCAUUCAGAAUCCUGCAUUUGGAAGCCAAAUAAAUAAUGUUAAUAACAAUUUUACAAUAGAAAAAUUAAAAAUUGAUAAAUGGCAGUUGUAAUUUAUGUAUGUGUAAAGAUAGCAUCACAUCCAGGGUCCUCCCAUAAACAUGCUUGUAACAAGAAUUAGUUUGCCUCAACUGCUAGCAACUGCUAACAAUAUACAAUAGUAAAAAUCACUCUUAUGAACUCAACAAUACUAGGCACCAAUAAGAGUAUGAUACAGCCAUUCUAAAUGGAAGAGAAUAUAACUGUUUUACAACUAUGUUGCAUCAGGAGAUAUGUUAGGAGGAUUAAUCCAGAUACCUUCCAACCCAAUUAGGAAAACUCAAGUCAGAAACCAGGAGCUGCAACCGAACCUUACAAUCUUGAAGGAAGAAGGAGACUUGGGGCAUUUUUCCAGAUAGGUGACUUACUAGAUCUCCUGCCAAGAGAAUAUCUAUUGCUUUGAACCUCCAUUGAAUUUUCUUUUCCCUUUUUCUUGUUUUGACUUGGAACUUUCCAGCAUCAUCUAUUUGAGCUUUUUUAAAGCUAAAAAAGCAAUCUAUGGGUUGUCAACAUCUUAUCACCCCCCCCCCCCGCGGGCCCCCCAAAAAAAAAUCAAUGAGUUGUCAAUAAAUAGCGCCUACUCAAAUGUUUUCCAAUGGAUGACAAUGUGCAAAUCGACCUAGCAGCCACAUUUUUCCCCCCUUUCAACCACCAUUAGGCAACUUUUCUAACCUUUCUUCAUUGCCCACAUCUAGAGAACUAUCAUAUAAAGACUACAUUAUUAUUGGGAUAGAGAAAAAUAUACAGACUAUAUUAUUAUAACUCAUUUUAUUAAUUAACUAGUGCAAGACUUAUUUAGUGUCAAAUCAAGAACUAAUUAGAAAAGACAACUCCUGAUAAUACAGACCUUAAAAAGCAAUAGCUAGCAACACCCCAUAUACUCCUAUUUUAGCCUUCAAUAUCCUGGUAAAAACACAAUUAAGUCUUGCAAAAGAACAUUCACAAGUAAAUUCAACAUUAAUUAAGAUUAAGUAUCUACUGCACCUUCAAUCAAUGACUGGGUGAAUAGCAUGGUCAACCAUCUAGUUCGUGUAGCCCUCCUUGUACCUAUGUUAGUUACAUUUUACAUAUUAAGCCAUGAAAAUGAAGGAUCACAGCCUGGUAAAGAAAGCCAUUAAUUAAUAGUGUUUGUUUAAAAAGUUCUCGUUUAGAUCUUUCCUAUUCAAUGAAUCAAUGUAAUCUAAGGAGAACUCUUCCAUUUCAAGCGGUGUUAGAAGAUAAUUGGAAAGCCUAAAGAUAAUAUACAAGGACCAAGAUAUCGAUUAGGUCAAAUAGUGAAUGUCAAAUAUAAAAAAUAAAUAAAAGAAGUUGUACAUGAUCAUUUACUAUCAAGUUAUGUAAAAUUGAAAAUACCAUUAUUCCUGUAGAGAUUCUCAAACAACUCUUUGGCAAAUUAUAAAAUAGUUAAAAAAAGAACGAAAGUUUAAAAAAAAAAAGAAAAUGUACAACAUCCAUAUCAGGAGAUGUUUUUCUUCUCAAUCUCAAUAUUUUCUAGCCGUGAAGCAAUUGAAAAGCUUAACACUAAGUGAAUUAUUAAGAAUUCAUCAUUUAAAUUCCCAAAUCGCAAAAUGUUGGUGCAACUAGGAAAGUGCAAAUGCAAUCACUUAACUAACACAAGAAACACCAAUAGUGAGAGCCCACUUUGUAUCAAAUUUGAAACAGAUAGAGGUCAAAAAAAUUAUAGACACUCAAUUAAAAGCCUUUCAAACAGCUUUUGCAUGCAAUAAGAACAAAUCAAAGGCGAUGUGAAUGUAUUCAAAGACUAAUUUACAAUCAUCUACAGGACAUAAAUAUCUUGGAUACCUACUCUCUAUACCUUCCUGUCCAACUGAAAAUCACCAAAUCCCUCCAAACAAAAAUGACAAAAUGGAUAAGAAUUGUGUGGUCAAACUUCAAUAACUUAGCAGCCACAGCAAAAACUUAUGUAGACAUGCAAGCCACUCAAAAUAGUCAUAUUUUUUGCUUUCCAAACACAAGCCACUGUGUAAUGAAUGCUCAUAAAUUGCUACUACCAUGUUUGUUAAAACACGUGAAAACCACCAUAACUAACUCAAUGUAACUGAUGAUCAUCAUCACAUUCAUGGAAUCACAUAUCUGACAGUAUUAAUUAGUGCAAAUUGCAUGCUUCUUGAAACUCCUUGUUUAUCACAUGGGCGCCAUUCCAAUCAACCAAUGAUUCUGAUCUAGUCGGCAUAUUCAACCCACGAGCGAGUAAUACCUCUUAUUGCUUCUUUACAUUUCUCAACGAAAUUCCACAUUCAAACCAUACUUCUGAACUUGUUGCUCCCAUAGACUAAUACAAUAUAAAUAUUUCUUCCCACACCACCUCAAUCCCCACUCCUGAAAAACCAAUUUAAAUUCUCAUUGGCUGUACAACCUAUAGUCCAUACCAAAUUGAAAAAUUUACAAAUAUAGAACCUCAAAGAAUCUUCUUGCGUUCCAUUUUUUACGGCAAGAAAUUUGACUUUUACCACAUGCAAGUCAACAAAUAAAAAAAUCAUGUCUUUGUGAGAUGCACAUUUUCAGACGAAUUUGAAGAGCAAUGAAACUGUAAAAACCGAAUAUGAGAACACCGAGGACUGCAGAUAUCACCUAUAGAAUCUUCGGUCCACACUUGCAUGAUGAAAAUGAUGAAAAAAAAUUGAAGGCUUCGUCACCAGCUCCCCAGGUUGUUUUGUUCUCCUAUCUCCUAAACAUAAAGGAAAUGCAACCUGUUCUUUUUUCCAAUCUUAAGGGGCACAGAACGACCCUGGUAUAAAAUAGUCAGUUUCUAUACAAAAAUAACUCCUUUGCACUUGGCAUUCCACAUCUCAAAAUAAAAAGCAUGCAAGGAGGAGAACAUAAUAGCAUUAAACAAGUUUUAUUAACCAAACUUCAAAGAUGCCACACAAGGCAAAAAAGGAAUCUGUACAAGCCAGAUCCCAAGAAUAAUAAUUCCAAUAUACAAUUCACAAAAACAAUAACUAAAACCAUGUUCAUGAGGCCUCAGCAGAAGCAACAUGUAAUAACCAUACUCUAUUAUUUGAAACACAUUUCCAAGUUUGGUUAAGAUUCUAAACCAUUCUCUAUGUGUCAAUUAUUAACAUGUAAAACAUAAUAAUAUACACUUAAACUACUACAGUAGUAAAACCAGUAAAACAACAAUACCUGCUAAAAAGAUUUGCUACCUCUUCACAUUCACGAGCAUUGCAGAACCAAAUCCCAUUUACUUCUUGGGAUGCAUUCCGAUAUAAAAAAUACGGAACCUGAACUUCAAACUCAAAAUCUCCCAAAAGAUUUUCCACUAAAUUAUCUGCACAUAUCCAAGAAAUUGAAGCUUAUCAGUGCAAAAACAUAUGCAAAAAGACAUGAAGGUUAGGAGAUACAACUAAAACUUAGCAACAACUGAUAAGCACAACAAGAAAUGAAAUAUAACACGAGUUGUAAACAAGAUAGACACAUGGUAUCUAAAUAAUUGUACCAACCCCCUCUCCUGAUUGUCAUAAAAAGGCCAAUAUUUAACCCUAGACAACAAAAUUGCAAAUACUCUAGCCUCUAUAUUAUUGGCAUAUAAAUAUUUUCGGUUAGGUACAUUAUAUUCUUCCUUCUAAAACCUCAAUUAUUAGCUAGUACUGUGAUAAAAUGAUUCAAAACUGAAAUAGAAACAACGACAAACCAACCUGUAUUACGUCGAUUCAUUACAACAAACUGAAAUCGAGGCUGUGUGUUCCUGAAAAUUGAAAAAAUAAUAAUUUCACCAACUUCAUAUGUAAUACAAUCUCCAAAACACUGAAUAUCAAAUGAAAAAAAUGGAAAGCAUAAGAGAGAAAAGAAUCUAAUUUUAUUGACCUUUUGACGACGAAGAGAGAGCCUUCAACAUCCUUACGACUCCAUUGGCUGAGAUCGAUGUUGAACUCGUAGAAGGUGACAUGAGCGGCCGUGAUGAGGAUCUCCUCAAUGAAUGGAUCGAUUCGCUGAAGAACUGUCAGGUUUAGGAGUUUUGUGCUCUGCUGGUCCAGAUUAGGCAUCAAUUUUCCGUUCUGCGACAUUUUUCAUAGUCCUUUUGGGCUCUGCCCCGAGCACAAGCCCCAUGGUUUUUCUGUGAGCUCUCUCUUUUGUAAAUAAAGUGUUUCAUGAGAUAGUCGAGAGAGAGUGAAAGAGUUGAACAGCUA
rnacentral:lncRNA from 1 species